rnacentral:rRNA from 1 species
AUUGAACGCCGGCGGCAUGCCUUACACAUGCAAGUCGAACGGCAGCACGGGAGCAAUCCUGGUGGCGAGUGGCGAACGGGUGAGUAAAGUAUCGGAACGUGCCCAGUCGUGGGGGAUAACGUAGCGAAAGUUACGCUAAUACCGCAUACGAUCUAUGGAUGAAAGCGGGGGAUCGCAAGACCUCGCGCGAUUGGAGCGGCCGAUAUCAGAUUAGGUAGUUGGUGGGGUAAAGGCUCACCAAGCCGACGAUCUGUAGCUGGUCUGAGAGGACGACCAGCCACAAUGGGACUGAGACACGGCCCAGACUCCUACGGGAGGCAGCAGUGGGGAAUUUUGGACAAUGGGCGAAAGCCUGAUCCAGCCAUGCCGCGUGCAGGAUGAAGGCCUUCGGGUUGUAAACUGCUUUUGUACGGAACGAAAAGGUUUGGGCUAAUAAGCUGAGCUCAUGACGGUACCGUAAGAAUAAGCACCGGCUAACUACGUGCCAGCCGCCGCCGUAA